rnacentral:misc_RNA from 1 species
GGUUUUUGGUUUGUUACGGAUGGUGGGAUGUCUGCCUUGAGCAGCAACUUCCAUGCGUGCUUACCUCUUCAUUUGUGCGCAAGGCUAGUCGCCUUGGGUACUUUGUGGGUUUCCUGUGUUGCAUACCUAGUCGAUGGUAUUUUGUUGGUUUAUAGAUGUUUCUUUUCGUCGUGCGUCGCUUAUGGGGCGUGGGACGAACGUUGUUGCGAUCUUUGUGAUCUGCCUUGUUGGUGCCUAUGCAUCGACGAUGUGGCCCAUGAAGCAUUGCUUGGUGUCUUGUGUACGGAACCUAAUGUGGGCAUGGGUCUUACGUGAUCCUACAUUUGCCCUUGUUAAGCGUUCUCGCUUCUCUAAAACGAUUGCCCGUCAUGUUAUGGCUUGUCCAUUCGUUUCGGGCUGUGUCGAAGAGGAAUGCUACCUGGUUGAUCCUGCCAGUAGUCAUAUGCUUGUCU